AACCCAUGGUGAGAGCACUGUCUCAAUAAAUCCUUUUACCUUUCCCAUACAUCAUAUAGGGUCUUUAAGUCGAUCUAAACGAAAGAAGAUAUAUCAUUCCUCAACUU
rfam:Gossypium hirsutum cultivar TM-1 chromosome 21, whole genome shotgun sequence